GUCUUCAAAAAAAGUUAAGCAAAAAUUAAGCUUCAUAAACUAAGGAGAAUCCAUGUUAUUUAAGUAACUGCAAUUACCAAAUUCAUGUGAGAUGUCUUUCAAAAAGCUUUGUCAUUUCUAGCAGUGACUAAAUGCUAUUUUACCAUAGAGCACCAUUUUUGAGGUCUAAAUUAAAUCGUUUUAUUUUUCAGCAAGUCAGAAUUGACAUUUAUUUUAGUUUAAUCCACUUUACCUCUGUCUAAGUAAGGCUGUUAUGAUUAAUACACGGGACUCGUAUCCUUUGAUGUUUCUUGACUGUUUACCAAGCGCGCGCACGACUUUUCCCAGCACGCGCUUGUGUGUGUGUGUGUGUUUGUGUGUGUGUGUGUGUGUGUGUGUGUGUGUGUGUGUGUGUGUGUGGGAGGCAUAUGGAGUAGGUCACACUCUGGAGUCAGGGCGAAACAAUCUGGAGAAAUAUAGUUUUUAAAGUCAUUGCCAUGAGAGUUGAACAGGAUUUUGAACAUGGGGAAACGUCUGAAAACUCGGCUAGUCAAGGUGACAUCAGCCAUGCCAUUGGGCUACUGACCACCCAGCCCCCAGAAGAGGAGCACAUGCCCGAAGAAACAACUAAAGCCAAUAAUGAGAGGAACACCUCCAAUACACAGAAUGGUGAGCUUAAGCGACACUAUUCAUAUCAAAUGACUUUCACGUCACCACAUUUUCCAAACAUUACCUUAUUUAUAUAGCAGUGUGACAGAUAAAGUCAUGAUGUUUAUUUUAUGCUCAUG
ensembl:lncRNA